GGAACGCCACGUAAAUUUUCUGUCUCCAGAAAUUUGAAAAAUAUUAUAAAGAAAAGUUAUAAAUUGUAUGUAAUUGUAUUGAAUAUCAAUAAGUAAAAGUAACUUCAGUGAAUACCCACCUCAUAAACCAAGUUGUAGUCCGAGUUCCAAAUUCUAGCUCCGUAGGAUAGAAAAUUCACAGCACACACCAACAUUGGAGGAAAACCAGAAUACCGAAUGUAUGCUCAAUAACUACACAACAUUGGAAGAAUUCGACCAUCAGUUGAAAAUAACAGAUUCGUACACAGCAUCCUAGUAAUUCCAUAUUAACUUCUAUAGGUUGACUGAAUCUCCGGGAGAAGGUCCAAGAUUGCAUCUUGAGUGGAUAGAGCCCCACGAAAUACAAACUGGUUUUCUGGCAGUCUGUAUUUCACAGAAUACCUACUCACAUAGUCCAUUUUGGGAAAAAAAAACGAACACCUUAGUGACCCCAAUAAUCUAG